UUCUACAGCCAUACCACCCUGAAUGCGCCCGAUCUCAUCUGAUCUCAGAAGCUAAGCAGGGUCAGGCCUGGUUAGUACUUGGAUGGCAGAACCAUUAAAAAAUACUCUGAAUAUAGUUUAAA
rnacentral:rRNA from 1 species